CAGGAAGGCUGUGAACAGAAUGGGGAAGAUGGCCCAGGAUUUAGGCUUCCGAGGCACCCCCUGGAGUGCUCCAGGAUCUCAUCUCGGCCACCCCUCCCUCCAAGCCAGGGCCACCUCCAGACCCCCGGAUGUGUAGAAGCAUGCACUGCCCCGAAGAAAACGCGUUGCCCCCAGAGUCCUUGAAGGCUCACAAAAUACCUGCAUAACCCCUGGACCCUGCAAACCUGGAUUGCCAACCUCACCUAACUUACAAGAAGAUUUGCAAGAGCCUUGAGUUUUGGAGGGAGAUGGGGAGCAAAUUUGCCGACAGUGGCAUCUUCACUACUGUCAUGGUCCAUUGGCCAGACACCCCUUACCUCCUCCUCACUCCCAAAUAUACCCUAUUUUUAAAAAACAGACUUGGAUUGUUACCCUGACUUACCCUUUCAAACCAAUUCCAGGAGAAGAUCUUCUAAAUGUUUCCCUACACCAAGUGUCUCGCCAUUUCUGGGUUAGUAAGGUCUUUCUGGGUUAGAAAGGUCUGCCAUGGUUGUGCACAAUACCUGCUCCAGGGAGAAGGGUGGGAAAGGGUGGCACCCUGUGUACAGAGGAGGCUGGAAGAUCCAGGCAGAGUCCCAAUUCCACCACUGUUCACAGUGGUGAACAGGCAAAGUGCUGCACCACAAAUUUGCAAGUUUGAUCCAGGCUCAUUGACCUGAAGGGAGGCCCAAGAUCAGAAGUACAGCAAAAACAUGUGAAAUUGAGGCUUCCCCCAAGAGAAGCAAGCUGUGGGGCCCAAGAGACCACAACAACAGGGCACAUUCAAACAGCCAAGGUGGAAAAUUGUGAUAUGUGGAGAGUGAUCUUCU
rnacentral:lncRNA from 1 species